GACGAACGCUGGCGGCGUGCCUAAUACAUGCAAGUCGAACGCUGAAGGAGGAGCUUGCUUCUCUGGAUGAGUUGCGAACGGGUGAGUAACGCGUAGGUAACCUGCCUGGUAGCGGGGGAUAACUCUUGGAAACGAUAGCUAAUACCGCAUAAUAGUAGAUGUUGCAUGACAUUUGCUUAAAAGGUGCAAUUGCAUCACUACCAGAUGGUCCUGCGUUGUAUUAGCUAGUUGGUGGGGUAACGGCUCACCAAGGCGACGAUACAUAGCCGACCUGAGAGGGUGAUCGGCCAAACUGGGAAUGGGACACGGCCCAGACCCCUAAGGGAGGGAGCAGGAGGGAAUCGUCGGGAAUGGACGGAAGGCUGAACGGGGAAAGCCGCGGGAGGGAAGAAGGGUGUCGGAUCGGAAAGAUCGGUUGUAAGAGAAGAAAGAGAGGGAGAGUGGAAAGUGCACAUUGUGACGGUACCUGACCAGAAAGGGACGGCUAACUACGUG
rnacentral:rRNA from 1 species